GGUAGUCGGUCUAGACUGGUAGUCAGAUUAGUUUUGAAGUCUUUAUCAGUAGGGUUGCAAUGUCCCACGGCGUGAAGCUGUAGUUAGUAUUUUAAGUCUUCGUAAAUUAGUAGUUAUUUAGAAUUGUGAAGUUCCCGGUGGGAAAAGCAGUGGCUUAAAGAUUGUUAAAGUUUCAAAUUUAUUAGAGCUUAUAGUUAAAAGAAUACUUACAAUUAUUUUAACAGCAUUGAUUAUUGAUUAUUGUGUUGACGAACUAGCCGAGGUGUUACAAGAGUGCCAUGAGAAUCAACUCCCCCUUCAACUCCCCAAAGACCUGUCAACCAGCACUAUACAAAAAGGGAAGCUCGCCUGCUGCUCGCUGCCUUUCGCCUUCUGCAUUCACCUGUCUCCUAUCAUGGCCCGGGGUCUUGUUCUGCUGUGUCCGUUCUCUCUCCACAUGUUACUCAUUUCUAUUAUAGAUUCCUCGCACUACUAGUACUACCUGUUCCCGAUAGAUCCUUCCAGAAUUAGGCUAUUGAGUUCCUUUCCUGAGGCAAUAUGACGGUGAUACCCACCCCACUUGUUCUGCCUGUCCUCACCUAAGCUCCACCAGUCGUAUUGCUUCAUUGAUUCCCCCCUCCUUCCUCGAGAACCGUUCGGCACUAUGUUAGAUCCUCGAGAUGACCAUGCAAGAUGGUUCAGUUCUAGUUGACAUUCCACUAUAUGAAAAGACCAGAUCGCCACUUUAUAUUCUUAUUCCUUGAGAGAGAGAGAGAACCGGAACAGCGACCUCGUGAAUCAUCCUAUUUAAUCGCUUCACCCUCGCCACAUUCGCUACUACUUCAAUUAUUGGGGUAAAUGGACAUUAACACUAAGUUAUGAGAUAUGAGAGUUAAAUUAAUAUUGUAGUCCUAUUUAACCCAAUUAUUUUACAACCCUUUAUUAACUUGUUUUAAUUGGUUAUCUUCCAGAUACAAAUUCGCAUAAAAUUCUGAAGUCCAUAAUUACAAUAGAAAUUACUGUCCUAAAAAUGUAUCCGUACAAAGAGAGUUUGGGUUUGAACUGUGCCCUGAGUGAGUCUCAAACCGGGAGGUAUUCCAUAAUAUCGGAACUUGAAUUUCCAUACUCUAGUUAAAAGGAGCCCAUUAUACGUAGUUAAAUUAAUACCAUCACAAUUUAAUGAAAUAUAAUAAAUAAAUAAUCUCUAGAAGUCAUGGAAAAUUGGAGCAUUAAAUAGGCCGUUAAGUAAGUUGUCGUGCUGAAACCCGAGUACGCCUCUUAACAAUGUAGCCCUAAUGCGGCUCUCUCUGUACAAAAUUUUCUAGCAAAAUUUUCAAAAAAUCUGGAAGAGACACCAAACCUUAGUUUGUUUUGUUAGUGCACCGUUAGUGCAAUUUAUUUAUUUACAUUGAUAUUAGUUGUUGCAGCCAUAGCCAUAAAAUGAUGAAGUCACAACAGAGAAGUAGGUAGAAGAGACAAAGAAGUGAUGUAAUUAUAAUGAGAAGUAAGAGAAGAAGAUGUUAAAGAGAAAGAAGUGAUAUAUUAUAGGAAAUAUACGGCCGUAUAAUUAGAUAAAGAUGGGAAUGAUGCGAGAGAUGUAUGAUGUUACGAGAUAAUGAGAUUAUGCUAUUAUGAGAUUUUGAAAUGUGAGACAAUUAUAUUAUGGGGAGAUAUAUCAAACUGCAGUAUAAAUUAUUAGCCGGCUAAGGGAUACGGGGUUUAGAAGAUCUUGUGAAGUUUAUUGGGAGGAGGUGCUAUAAUGGUUGUUGACAAGGUGUUAGUUUUAAUUAGUAGAUGGGCUUCUUAUCUGUUAUUUGAGUG